CACACCGCCCGUCACACCAUGGGAGUUUGUUGCACCAGAAGCAGGUAGCUUAACCUUCGGGAGGGCGCUCGCCACGGUGUGGCCGAUGACUGGGGUG
rnacentral:rRNA from 1 species